GGUCGCAUAGCCAAGCAGUAAGGCAGAGGUCUGCAAAACCUCUAUGCGUGGGUGCAAUUCCCACUGCGACCUCAA
rnacentral:tRNA from 1 species